rnacentral:rRNA from 1 species
UACGUAGGGGGCAAGCGUUGUCCGGAUUUACUGGGCGUAAAGCGCGCGCAGGCGGAUUGUUAAGUCAGAGGUGAAAUCCCGGAGCUCAACUUCGGAACUGCCUUUGAUACUGGCAAUCUAGAGUCCGGAAGAGGUUAGUGGAAUUCCCAGUGUAGAGGUGAAAUUCGUAGAUAUUGGGAAGAACACCAGUGGCGAAGGCGGCUAACUGGUCCGGUACUGACGCUGAGGUGCGAAAGCGUGGGGAGCAAACAGG